GACGAACGCUGGCGGCGUGCUUAACACAUGCGAGUCGAACGGAAAGGCUCCAGCUUGCUGGAGUACUCGAGUGGCGAACGGGUGAGUAACACGUGGGUAAUCUGCCCUGCACUCUGGGAUAAGCCUGGGAAACUGGGUCUAAUACUGGAUAUGACCUUUCUCCUUAUGGGGUUUGGUGGAAAGUUUUUCGGUGUAGGAUGAGCCCGCGGCCUAUCAGCUUGUUGGUGGGGUGAUGGCCUACCAAGGCGACGACGGGUAGCCGGCCUGAGAGGGUGAUCGGCCACAUUGGGACUGAGAUACGGCCCAGACUCCUACGGGAGGCAGCAGUGGGGAAUAUUGCACAAUGGGCGGAAGCCUGAUGCAGCGACGCCGCGUGAGGGAUGACGGCCUUCGGGUUGUAAACCUCUUUCAGCAGGGACGAAGCGUAAGUGACGUUACCUGCAGAAGAAGCACCGGCUAACUACGUG
rnacentral:rRNA from 1 species